CCUACGGGUGGCAGCAGUCGAGAAUCAUUCACAAUGGGGGAAACCCUGAUGGUGCGACGCCGCGUGGGGGAAUGAAGGUCUUCGGAUUGUAAACCGCUGUCAUGUGGGCGCAAAUUAAAAAGCUAGUACCACACGCGGAAGAGACGGCUAACUCUGUGCGAGCAGCCGCGGUAAUACAGAGGUUUCAAGCGUUGUUAGGAAUUAGUGGGUGUAAAGCGUGGGUAGGCGGUUUCGUAAGUCGGAUGUGAAAGGCUGGGGCUCAACUCGCGAAUUGCAUAUGAUACUGCGCGGCUAGAGAAAAGGAGCGGUAAGCGGAAUGUAUGGUGUAGCAGUGAAAUGCGUAGAGAUCGUAAAGAACACCCAUUGCGAAGGCAGGUUACUAAGCUACUUCUGACGCUGAGGCACGAAGGCGUGGGGAGCAAACAGGAUUAGAUACCCCUGUAGUC
rnacentral:rRNA from 1 species